rnacentral:misc_RNA from 1 species
AUCAUUUCUGGAUGAAAGGCUGUCAGCAUUCUGUCUCUUGCUAGAUAGAUUUAAAGUAGAUAGUGAAAUAAUCUCUCUCUCUCUCUCUCUCUCGUCAUGAACUAUUAUAUUAUAUUUAUGUUUCUAAACAGAUAUUAACCGGCUAUAAUGGAAUAAUAUUGAAUUUGAAAGAAAAAAAACAAGUUAUAUUAGGAUUUUUUUUCUCUUCGUUUAUUUCUCCCUUUCUCACUCUUUUUUUCCAACUUGCAAUAAAAAUUCAACAACGAAAGGAAAAUUAAACUGAGCAAGAAACAUAAAAAAAGAACAAGAACAAGAGAAAAAAGAAACAGAAGAAGAAGAAAAAAAGAUAGUAAAUUAUAAAGAGAAAAAAUGAGUUCGAAAGCGAAUAAGGAUGAGGAAAGAGAGGAAAAUUUAUCAGAGCUUCCAGUACCACCGGAUGGGGGAUUUGGAUGGGUUAUUAUGUUUUCUAGUUUUAUAAUUAAUCUUAUUGUUGAUGGUGUUUGCUUUUCAUUCGGAAUAUUCUAUAUUCAAUUCCUAGAGUAUUUCCAGGAAUCUAAGGGAAAAACAUCUGUUGUUGGAAGUGUGUUAAAUGGGAUGUAUUUAUCUAUGGGUCCACUUGUUAGUGCUCUCGCUAAUAAAUUCGGUUGUAGGAGAGUAACAAUAAUUGGGAGUAUAGUAUCAACAAUUGCAUUUAUUCUUUCGACUUUUAGUCCAAAUAUUAAUGUACUGAUUGUGACCUUUGGUGCAUUGGGAGGUUUUGGCUUUGGUUUAAUGUAUUUACCAUCUAUAGUUAUGGUUGGUUAUUACUUUGAAAAGAGAAGAGCUCUAGCAACAGGUGUUGCAGUUUGCGGUUCAGGGAUAGGAGGAUUUAUAUUUUCUCCUCUAUGUAAUGCAUUGAUAAGUAAUUAUGGAUGGAAGGGAGCAACUAUUAUAAUAUCCGGUGUCGUCUUAAAUGGACUUGUUUGUGGAGCUUUAUUCCGUCCUUUAGAGGUUAAGAUGAAAAAGGAAAAAGAUAAUUUAAAAAAUAAUGAUUCUAAUGGAAUUCAUAUAAACGGUUGCUCACAAUCCGAAAGGAAUAAAUAUUUAAAUAGAAGCUACCAAGAAAUAUGCAAUGUAAAAUCGCCAGAAUGCGCAAAGUAUUGCAAGAGUAUGGAUGAUUUAAUACUUAAAGAUUCCCUUAUUAAUGGAGAUAAGACUAAAAUGCUUUAUCGGAAAGAUAGAUUUUACAGUGGUAGUCUUAAAAGUUUAAAUCAGAAUGAGGAUAAAUUUGAUCUUGAAGCUGUAAAAGUACAAGAAGAUUUAGAAAAGAGUAGCGGCUGUUCAAAAUAUUGCAGUAGCUUUCUUGCAUCAAUGAAACAGACUAUGGAUUUUUCAUUGUUACUCAAUCCCGUUUUCAAAAUAUAUGGGAUUAGCUGCUUCUUGUGCAUGUUUGGUUUCUUUAUUCCUUUUACAUACCUGAUUGAUUAUGCUGUUGAAAAUGGCGUAUCUAAAUCUAAGGGAUCAUUCUUAAUAUCAAUUAUUGGUAUUGCCAACACAAUUAGCAGGGUACUUUGUGGUUGGAUCUCCGAUCAACCGUGGGCAGAUAGUUUAUUGAUUAAUAAUAUAGCAUUAAUAAUUGGUGGAACUGCAACAAUGAUGAUACCUCUCUGUACGACUUAUUGGUCAAUGUGCCUUGUAUCGUCGAUAUUUGGAAUGUGCAUAGGUAAAAUUAAUCUAAGGUCGGUCUGUCUCUUUUCAUUUAUCUUUUCAUUCCUUCAGCUGUUUUCGUGUCGUUGCGUUCCAUUAUCAUGGUUGACCUUAUAGGCUUAGAUAAAUUAACCAAUGCAUUUGGUCUAGUUACUAUGUGCCAAGGUAUUAGCUCCUUUAUUGGAGCACCUGCAGCAGGUAAGAACAAGCAUUAAUUAACAAGUAAUCCUCUUCCAGAAUAGGCAUUGGAACAGUAUAUCAUAUAGCUGUGUUUGUGAAAUUUUUUUACAGGAGCUUUAUUCGACGCUACAAAGUCAUAUACACCUUCGUUCGUCCUGGCUGGAGCUACUCUAGCCAUGGCAGGAAUAAUCUGCUUACCUUUAAGGAGAAUAUCUAGAAUCUUAAAAGCUAAAGAACAAGCUAAUGUUAUAACAAAAUCAAUAUCCGAAUAAGUAAACAACAAUGAAGGUUUUAUA